rnacentral:rRNA from 1 species
UACGGAGGAUGCAAGCGUUAUCCGGAAUGAUUGGGCGCAAAGCGUCCGCAGGUGGCAAUGUAAGUCUGCUGUCAAAGCGUCUGGCUCAACCAGAUAAAGGCAGUGGAAACUACAUAGCUAGAGUAAGGUAGGGGUAGAGGGAAUUCCUGGUGUAGCGGUGAAAUGCGUAGAGAUCAGGAGGAACACCGGUGGCGAAAGCGCUCUGCUGGACCUUAACUGACACUGAGGGACGAAAGCUAGGGGAGCGAAUGGG